CGUAGAAAAGAGCCCCUAACCCGCCACUAGUGGGAUCCACAGACCCCCACUCAGCUAACGAAGAGGCAUUCCGCAGAGGAGUGGCUGUUUCCUCUGCGUACAGCCUGACACGGCGUCUGUCUCACGAUUGUGAGAGCAUCCCUGUAAAGAAAUCAAAAUGGUCACAUAAUUCACAGGAAUAGAACGGAACCAGGUUGGAUGGAUGAUGGAUAAAGGGACCGAGAAUAGAUGAAUGGAGAGCACGAGGGAGAGAGCCAAACCAAGAAGCGGCCUCCUCUGAAUGUGUGGGCUGCUGCUUUCUCAGGAGGGAGCAGUGCAAUGCGGCUCCAUGGAGACCCAGACAAAGCCUCAUUGAUGAAGACCUUUUUCUGUUCUCCGCUACAUUGUUAUCAGCAGAGAACUGCAAAGCCACGUGGAGUUGUUACCCGUCCAUGGCCCAAACUCCCAGCCAUGUUAUUUCCUGGAGUGAAAAACAUGUA